rnacentral:rRNA from 1 species
UGGCCAGACUCCUACGGGAGGCAGCAGUGAGGAAUAUUGGUCAAUGGGCGAGAGCCUGAACCAGCCAAGUCGCGUGAGGGAAGACGGUCCUAUGGCUUGUAAACCUCUUUUGCCGGGGAGCAAAAAGCGGUACGUGUACCGCAUCGAGAGUACCCGGAGAAAAAGCAUCGGCUAGCUCCGUGCCAGCAGCCGCGGUAAUACGGAGGAUGCGAGCGUUAUCCGGAUUUAUUGGGUUUAAAGGGUGCGCAGGCGGAGGUGCAAGUCAGCGGUAAAAUGUCGGGGCUCAACCCCGGCCGGCCGUUGAAACUGGCGUGCUCGAGUUGGAGAGAAGUAUGCGGAAUUCGUGGUGUAGCGGUGAAAUGCAUAGAUAUCACGAAGAACCCCGAUUGCGAAGGCAGCAUACCGGCUCCACACUGACGCUGAGGCACGAAAGCGUGGGUAUCGAACAGGAUUAGAUACCCGAGUA